GGAAUAUUGGACAAUGGGGGAAACCCUGAUCCAGCCAUGCCGCGUGCGUGAAGAAGGCCCUAGGGUUGUAAAGCGCUUUCGGCGGGGAAGAUGAUGACGGUACCCGCCAAAGAAGCCCCCGCUAACUCCGUGCCAGCCGCCGCGGUAAUACGGAGGGGGCUAGCGUUGUUCGGAAUUACUGGGCGUAAAGGGCGCGUAGGCGGACCAUCAAGUCAGAGGUGAAAGGCCUGGGCUCAACCCGGGAACUGCCUUUGAAACUGAAGGUCUAGAGUCCGAGAGAGGAUAGUGGAAUUCCCAGUGUAGAGGUGAAAUUCGUAGAUAUUGGGAAGAACACCAGUGGCGAAGGCGGCUAUCUGGCUCGGAACUGACGCUGAGGCGCGAAAGCGUGGGGAGCAAAC
rnacentral:rRNA from 1 species